rnacentral:rRNA from 1 species
UACGAAGGGGGGCUAGCGUUGCUCGGAAUCACUGGGCGUAAAGGGCGCGUAGGCGGCCGAUCAAGUCAGGGGUGAAAGCCUGUGGCUCAACCACAGAAUUGCCUUUGAUACUGUUCGGCUCGAGACCGGAAGAGGUAAGUGGAACUGCGAGUGUAGAGGUGAAAUUCGUAGAUAUUCGCAAGAACACCAGUGGCGAAGGCGGCUUACUGGUCCGGUUCUGACGCUGAGGCGCGAAAGCGUGGGGAGCAAACAGG